UACGUAGGGUGCAAGCGUUGUUCGGAAUCACUGGGCGUAAAGGGCGUGUAGGCGGCCUGUUAAGUCUGAUGUGAAAUCCCCUCGCUCAACGAGGGAACUGCGUCGGAAACUGGCAGGCUCGAGUACCGGAGAGGAAGGUGGAAUUCCCGGUGUAGUGGUGAAAUGCGUAGAGAUCGGCAGGAACACCCAGGGGGAAACCAGUGGACUGGCACGGUGCUGACGCUCAGGUGCGAAAGCGUGGGGAGCGAACCGG
rnacentral:rRNA from 1 species